UACAGAGGUCUCAAGCGUUGUUCGGAUUCAUUGGGCGUAAAGGGUGCGUAGGUGGCGCCGUAAGUCGGGUGUGAAAUUUCGGAGCUUAACUCCGAAACUGCAUUCGAUACUGCGGUGCUUGAGGACUGGAGAGGAGACUGGAAUUCAUGGUGUAGCAGUGAAAUGUGUAGAGAUCAUGAGGAAGACCAGUGGCGAAGGCGGGUCUCUGGACAGUUCCUGACACUGAGGCACGAAGGCCAGGGGAGCAAACGGG
rnacentral:rRNA from 1 species